rnacentral:misc_RNA from 1 species
AAGGAUCAUUACCGAGUGUUGGACCGAAAGGUCCGCCUCCCACCCAUUGUCAAUUCUACCUGUUGCUUCGGCGAGGCGUCGUCUUUUUUCUAGAUGGCCGUCGGCUAACGCGGACGAGUUCUCGCCGAAGGAUUUUCGAAACUCUGUACCAGUCGUCUGAGUAAAAAACAAAAAAGUAAAAACUUUCAACAACGGAUCUCUUGGUUCUG